rnacentral:rRNA from 1 species
UACAUGUGGGGCAAGCGUUGUUCGGAAUUACUGGGCAUAAAGGGUGCGUAGGCGGCUUGUUAAGUCAGGGGUGAAAGUUUUCGGCCCAACCGGAAAAUGGCCUUUGAUACUGGCGAGCUUGAGUGCGUGAGGGGUGACCGGAACGAGUGGUGUAGCGGUGAAAUUCGUAGAUAUUCGCAAGAACACCAGUGGCGAAGGCGGCUCACUGGCCCGAUACUGACGCUGAGGUGCGAAAGCGUGGGGAGCAAACAGG